UCCUUCUCCAGCCAAAGAGGGCCUAUAGCACACAGCAGAAAGUGUGGCCUCGAAUCAACACUUCCAGAACAGUCAUACCUGACCUUUGUGAAUGCUUCCCUGAUUCUGUCAAACAAGCAUUACUGAACUGCCCUAGAGACAGCAACAAAGUAAGGUAGAACCACAUGAAAGAGGCAACCUACAACACAGCUAUUUUGACAAAAGAGAGCAGCAGAUCACCAACUGGUUUGAGGGCGGCAUUAAGGAUAUGAAGCCGUAAUAUAGACAGUCGUUUACCCUCGCUAGAUUCAGCUGAUUCCCUGGUGGCCCGCUGGAAUGCGGAGUUAACCAGGGCUAUCGACUGUCUGGCUCCGAAGCGCCCUCUCCGAUUGCAUGGAGCCCGGACAGCCCUGUGGUUUUCUUCGGAGCUGAGGACAAUGAAACAAUCGCUGAGAUGGCUAGAGCGUCGGUGGCAGAAAACUCACUCCAAAUCUGACCGGACACAGGUUAGAGCUCAACGUCGAGCCUACGGAAUGAGUUUGUCCCUGUGGCGCGAUAGAAGUGGAAACCGUCUCUCACGUCCCGCUACGAUGCCAUUUUUACAGGGAUAUACGCUCGGUUUUUAUCACCCCUGUUAUACAGAAAAUUCCAAGUGGGCCUGAGCCUCAAUGCUGAAAAUCUUUGAUAGAGGACAAGGAUCCAGAGAUCAUGUUAAAGGUGGCCACAUUUUGCGCGGUUGCCAUAAAACUUAGGGAACAAGCUGUGCUAUUGUAAAGACCAAGGCCUUAGAAGCAAAUUAUAGAUAACAUUGUAGAGAUUAAGACUUAAACCAUAUUUUAACUGCUGCCAUAAUUGUAUUGUUUAUUGUUAUUUUGAUUAUUUGUUAAUUUAAUUUUAAUUUUAUUGUGUUUCUUAAUUGUUUAGUACAGUAUGUGAGUCUGGUCUGGGACUGUAAUAAAUUCAAUUCAAAGAAUAUGAAGCCUGUUAUCACUGCAAAGCAUGAAGCUUUUGUGAACCACAAGCAUGCACCUUGCAAAAAGAUGCUGUCUGCAUUGACAAAGGCAAGGAGCAAUGCCCAGUGGAUUGCCAGACAAUGGGCUGAUGGCUACUGGCUAAAGCUGUGUCAGAGCAUUCAAUUUGCUGCUGAUGCUGGCAAUACUCACAAAGUGGAUGAAGGCAUGAAGAAAGCCUUUGGACCAACUGUCAGGAAAACUACACAGCUGAAAACCUUGUCUGGAGAAACCAUCACAGACUGCAGCAAGCAGAUGAAGUGAUGUGCAGAAUACUACCAAGAACUGUACUCACAGUAAAACAUGCUCUUCAGCACAGCAACUGAUAGCAUCUGGACUCUGCCUGUCUUGGAAGGGCUGGAUGUCCCUCACUCCCUUGCAGUGCUGAAUAAUGCCAUCAAUUCUCAGGCAUGUGGGAAAGCCCCAGGAUAGGAUGGAAUUUCAACAGAAGUGCUGAAAGUUGGCCUCAACUCCUCCUCAGCCUUCUCUUGCAGUGUUGGAAAACAGAAUCUGUCCCACAAGACAUGGGUAACUCCAGCAUUGUGACCCUCUACAAGAACAAAAGUGACGGUCACAACUGUAACAACUACUGUGAAACCUCCCUGCUGAGUACUGUGGGGUAAGCCUUGGGUCAUGCAGCUCUCAACAGAUUACAGUCACUUGCUGACAGGAUCUAUCCUAAGUCACAAUGCAACUUUGGGGCUCAGAGGUUAAAAGUUGACAUGAUUUUCUCACUGUGCCAGCUGCAGGAGAAAUGCCAAGAGCCUUCUACAUCGCCUUCAUAGACCUGAUGAAGGUGUUUGACUCCCAUACUUAUCAAAAGAUGCUCUGAGAAGACUCUGAGAAGGUUAAUGUCCAUGUAAUAUUUUAGACAAUCCAUGCAUUACACAGUGCAAGGGGUUUAAAUUGAGCAGCGGGAGACAUGAUUCAGAAUUAUGAGCCUUACAAAUGCCAUGAACAUGCAUGCCCAUACAGCACAACAUACAACUGUGUGAUCAGCCAAUGUGCCAACACAUGCUUAGGUCAUUACUGUUUCCUAUACAGAAGUGUUGUUUGUGUCAAAACUUUGUCAUGUGUGAUGUGCUCUGAGGUUUUUUUUAGGCUGUCUAGAUCUGUCUCUUCAAUGACCUCUUUGAUUUUCAUACUUCCUUUCUUCUUUACAGCCCAGUAAAGUGUGACUUAUGUGGAUUACCCUAUAAUAGAUUGGUAUCUGGAGAAGGUUGCCUAGCUUGGUUGGUGGAAAAUCAACUUCUCAUUCUACUUGUUCUGAAUUGAUCAAAGGUAUGUGAAUACAGCCUGACUUGCUGGUUGAUUAGCAGGCAUGCGUGCAGCUCCAGAUAGGUAUAUCCAUGAUGAAGUAAAAUUCCAUGCAUCCUUAGCUGCUUGCAUUUAUUUCACUCACUGCAUAAAAACUGUACUUGAAGUCAAUGACAGUCAGAUUCUCUACGCUGAUUCACUGAUGUAGCUGCACAGAACCUCUUAGGCUUGGACUUAGAGGUCUCAGUGUCAGAAUGAAGAGUGGAGCCAUCUGACCCAGGCCCAUUGCCAGUACAACAGUUGCUACUGGUGAAUGUUUUCAUCCCCAAUACUUAUACAAAGGCGAUGAAUGAGUAUUUGUCUAUCUGAAGGAUGUAAAGCAAGAUAAGUAGGGGCAUGGGUGGUUACAUCCUGAGACAGAGCCUCCUAUGAAGUAUUUAAAGUCCUGGAGCUGUAUUUUUUGUAUAAAAAAAUGCUGCCGUUCUCUGCCUUUUUUUCCAAGAAGAGCAUGCUAUUUUAGCUGCAAACCACUGCUUGCCCUACGGCUGCCAAAGCUGCUUUAUAGGAUCAAGCUGCUCAUCAGAUACUCUCUUGAACCAAUGAAUUGUUCACAACCUCAGGGAGUUUAAAUGUUAGCUGGUAAAGCCAAAGAAUAUGAACUGUACUGUAGUCAGCCUAUCAGCAUUUUGCAGCUAGCCUGAUCCUUUGUAUUCUAGAGAGCUCCUUCUCUUUAAUUACUGCACAUUUAAAACUAAUAAACGCUAGUUCCUAGUCAGAGUGAAUCUCUCUCUUUCUGAUAACAUGCUUUUUCCAAGAAAAUUAAUCAUUUUCCCUGUGUAAUGAUGGCAUCAUUGGCACACUUUUCAGUUUGGAUGGCACACUGAAUCUUUUUAGGGAAGUACUGAGGCUUCUAUAUGAUUAGUUUCAGUUUAUUAUUAUUAGUAUCAUCAGUGUCAGCAAGAAACAAUGAAUUAGUCCUAGGUCAGUAUAAUGGACUGAAUGAAUCACUAUUCUGUUUACUUCGAUGCUUACUACAGCAGCUUCAAGCAUCAAACAACAUCUUUGAUGGUCCAAGGAGGCACUCUCCAUAUUGUAUGGUUGAGUUUUUUUCACUGUUCAUAGAAAAGCAAGGGUGGGAAUAUAAUGUUUGAAUAAUUCAGUUCUAUUGUGGGAUGCUUAAGUGUCCUUAGCAUAUCAUCUUUUUUACUUUUAAGAAAGUGUAGUUUGGACCCAGAGGAUUAGGAGGGAAUGAUGUCAACGCACUACAGUGUCAAAGUCCUGACAAACUCCUGUUUCAUGGUUUUUUUUGCUUUGAUGUUGGGGAACUUUGAUUGCUCUGUAGUUUCUGAAGAUUGUUCUCAUUCUUCAGCAUUUUAAAACUUUAGGUUAUUCAGUAAAUGGGGGCAGAGGGAAAGAAAGGAAGAAGAAUGGAAUUUAUAGAUACCAAUGUGUUGCUCAAAUUAUAGGAAGCAGAUUCCAAUGUAGAUAAGUUGACGUAACAAGGAUGUUUUUGUAGUAUGCGUGGAAUUGCCACACCUUACUCACUCACAUUGUCUAGGGCAGAGGCAGGGAACCUUUUUCAGCCUGAGGACCACACUCCUAUGGCGGGGGGGACCACACUCCAAAGGUGGGCAGAUUAAGAAACAAACAUGAGUGGAGCAAUGAAUUUACCUUUGUACGAUUGGCUAGUUUCUACACACUCCCGCAGACCUCUCUGUAUUCUUCAUCCAGGCAAGCAAAAGUCAUUUAAAGCUUUUAAGGACACAUUCCAGUCAGGCAAGAACACUCAUGGAGGGUGUGAAGCAAGGCCAGUGAGGGCUGGGGAGUGGGUGUGGACUGGAGAGAAUCCUAGGAACAUAAUGGAGAGACUCUUUUUAAUGAGUGCUAGAACACUUUUCUAGCUUUAAUUUCUUUAAUAUUAAAAUAUUAGUAGAAUAAUGCUUAAAUAAUAGAAUCAUAGUAGAGUAGUAAGGGACACCAAGAGCCAUGCAGGGAUCUCAGCUAAAGCAUCCCAUGACAAACCUCUGCUUUAAAAUCUCCAAGGAUGGCUGGCUACUGCUACUGGCAGCCUUCUGCACUUUUGGCUGGUAUAGCAAGGGCAUCAGCCGAGCCAGGGCCACCCUCCCUGCCAGCUGAGAACACCUUCAUUGCAUCCUAACUUCCUCCAGCAGUGUGGAUUAGGGGUUCAGUUUGCACACCUCCCCAACCCCCCCAAUAUUUCAGCAGUGUAUUUCCCCCCAAUUAGGCACUUCCAAUCUACACCUCUGAUUCAAAACAAAUGUUAAACACUGCUUUGGGGAAUUUAUGACUAGUAAUAGGCAAGCACACAUGAACGAAUAAGCACUUAGCAAUAAGUAAACAAUUAUCCUUUUAGAGAUCAUUCAAAUUCCCCACCCCAGCCCCAUAUGGCCACGCAGGUGAAUUGGAUCUUUCCCUUUCCAGCGUACACCUGUUCUGACAUGCCCACUCGUGCAGAGAGUACAUAGAAGGAUAAACAUGUAGAAAAAGCAGAAUACAGGGUAGAAAGUCAAUUGCUAUCCCACAUUCUGCUUACAAUGGAAGAGCAAUGAUUUAUUAGUACAAGGAGCCGCCUAUCUGUAAGAAGCCUAAGAAUUAAAUGAGUACAUUUUAUAAGUGUUAUAUUCAAAUAUCCAGUGGUACGUUGUUUCUAUUUGCCGGAAACCAUUCCUGUUUUCUGAUAGCCACAUCUGGUAAAUGACUGUGCAUUUUGCCUUUGGUUGAAAUUUUGGGAAUAUAGUGGUACCUUGGUUUACGAAUUUAAUCUUUUCCUGAAGUCUGUUCUUAAACCAAAUCCGUUCUCAAACUGAGGCGUGCUUUCCCUAAUGAGGCCUCCCACCGCUGGUGCCCUUCCACCAUUCAUAGGCUUCCAUUCAUAGCCUGAGGUAGAGUUCGCAAACCGGAACACUACUUCUGGUUUUGCGGAGUUUGUAAACCAAAUAGUUCGUAAACAGGACUGUUCGUAAACUGAGGUACUACUGUACUUCAUAACAAUUUUGUUAGAAUAUACAUGCGGGUCUUGCUAUCUGCCCACUCGCUAUAUGAAAAUUCACGUAUCCAUAUGUAAAGAAUCAUGCCCAAAUCUCACUAUACACUCCACAGAUUCAUAUAUCUGAACAUCUGGAGUUUGCACAUUUCCGUACUUCCUCGCUUGUUUGUGCUUUGUUGAUUGGCAGCAGCCAUUUCUGGGCAGAAACCAAGCAAGGAAGGAGAGAGCAAGAUCAGACAAUUCAGGGAACAGGAGAGAAUGGACAGAUCAGCUUUUCCUUUGACUCUCUUUUGUUGGCUGACUGCAGCCAUUUCAGGAAGAAAUUAUUGAAAAGGAGGAGAAAGAGCUUGGGUAAAGACUGGAUGCCUUACAUGAUAUCUAGGAGGACACCAUGGUGAAAGGCACUGAAAGAUCAAGCAACAUUAUGCACAUGUAUUUUGGAUGAGCCACCUAUGAAUCAGUUAAAAGGC
rnacentral:lncRNA from 1 species